GACGAACGCUGGCGGCGUGCCUAAUACAUGCAAGUCGAGCGAACAAGGGUGGUACUUGUUCCUACUGGAUGAGCAGCGGACGGGUGAGUAACGCGUGGGGAACCUGCCUUUGAGCGGGGGGUAACAUUGGGAAACGAGUGCUAAUACCGCAUAAAAUCUUGAAACACAAGGUUCAAGAGUGAAAGAUGCUAUUGCUUCAAUCAAAGGAGAUCCCCGGUUGUAUUAGCUAGUUGGUGAGGUAAAGGCCUACCCAGGCGAUGAAACAUAGCCGACCUGAGAGGGUGGUCGGCCCCAUUGGGACUUGAGCACGGCCCCAACCUCUACGGGGGGCAGCCGUAGGGAAUCUUCGGCCAUGGACGGAAGGCUGACCGGGCCACGCCGGGUGAAUGAAUGAGGGUUUCCGGUCGUUAAACUCUUUUGGUAGGGAAGAACGUUGUUUGUAGUUGACUGCGCAUCAAGUGACGGUAACUACCCAGAAAGCGACGGCUAACUACGUG
rnacentral:rRNA from 1 species